UACAGAGGGGGCGAGCGUUGUUCGGAAUUACUGGGCGUAAAGGGCGCGUAGGCGGCCUGCUAAGUCGAACGUGAAAUCCCCGGGCUCAACCCGGGAACUGCGUCCGAGACUGGUUGGCUCGAAUCCGGGAGAGGGAUGUGGAAUUCCAGGUGUAGCGGUGAAAUGCGUAGAUAUCUGGAGGAACACCGGUGGCGAAGGCGACAUCCUGGACCGGUAUUGACGCUGAGGCGCGACAGCGUGGGGAGCAAACGGG
rnacentral:rRNA from 1 species